rnacentral:siRNA from 1 species
UAGAAUAAAAUAAAUAGUAAUGGU